CCAGACUCCUACGGGAGGCAGCAGUGAGGAAUAUUGGUCAAUGGCCGAGAGGCUGAACCAGCCAAGUCGCGUGAGGGAUGACGGCCCUACGGGUUGUAAACCUCUUUUGUCGGGGAGCAAAGAGAGUCACGUGUGGCUCAUUGAGAGUACCCGAAGAAAAAGCAUCGGCUAACUCCGUGCCAGCAGCCGCGGUAAUACGUAGGGAGCAAGCGUUAUCCGGAUUUACUGGGCGUAAAGGGCGUGUAGGCGGGCUUGUAAGUCAGAAGUGAAAUCUGGGGGCUUAACCCCCAAACUGCUUUUGAAACUGCGGGUCUUGAGUGAUGGAGAGGCAGGCGGAAUUCCCAGUGUAGCGGUGAAAUGCGUAGAUAUUGGGAGGAACACCAGUGGCGAAGGCGGCCCGCUGGACAUUAACUGACGCUGAGGCGCGAAAGCGUGGGGAGCAAACAGGAUUAGAUACCCCGGUAACU
rnacentral:rRNA from 1 species